UUGUGUGAAAUCAGGAAGCAGCGUUAUGUGUACGGAACCUUGCUGGACAGCAUUGCCAAGGUUACAGGAGUAGCCAAGUUUGAUCUGCAUUGCUGAACCAGAGUUUGGAAAAACCCAAAUUGAGGUUGGAGGAAAUGUCCAAGGCCUCUAUGACCUCAGACCAGGCAGAUUUGGUUCUGAGGCUAUUUUUGUCCCUCGCACUCCUGGCGUUACUUCUGAAGAAGAUGAUGGCUACUUAAUACUCUUUGUUCAUGACGAGAACACUGGAAAAUCAGCAAUUCAUGUAGUUGAUGCAAAGACAAUGUCACCAGAGCCCGUUGCAGUUGUGGAAUUGCCACAUAGAGUUCCAUACGGUUUCCAUGCAUUCUUCGUGACAGAGGAGCAAUUGCAAGAACAAGCGAAGCUUUAAUUGUUCGAUCAUUGGAAGAACCUGCAAGGGAAGGCAGGCCACUGUAAAUUGAACCUGUUGUCGUGUAGACGGUCUACUCCGCGUCUCCACCAAUAAUAUAAUGUAUACACCUCUGUAUUUAAACUACUCUAUUAGUCUAUUGUGUUUUAAUUACUUGGAACAAAAUGAAUCAAUACCUAUACCAUCUUGAUUAAUGUUAAUUAUAUACGUAGAUGCAUUUUCCUU